GACGAACGCUGGCGGCGUGCUUAACACAUGCAAGUCGAACGGAAAGGCCCUGCUUUUGUGGGGUGCUCGAGUGGCGAACGGGUGAGUAACACGUGAGUAACCUGCCCUUGACUUUGGGAUAACUUCAGGAAACUGGGGCUAAUACCGGAUAGGAGCUCCUGCUGCAUGGUGGGGGUUGGAAAGUUUCGGCGGUUGGGGAUGGACUCGCGGCUUAUCAGCUUGUUGGUGGGGUAGUGGCUUACCAAGGCUUUGACGGGUAGCCGGCCUGAGAGGGUGACCGGCCACAUUGGGACUGAGAUACGGCCCAGAAUCCUACGGGAGGCAGCAGUGGGGAAUAUUGCACAAUGGGCGGAAGCCUGAUGCAGCAACGCCGCGUGCGUGAUGACGGCCUUCGGGUUGUAAACCGCUUUCGCCUGUGACGAAGCGUGAGUGACGGUAAUGGGUAAAGAAGCACCGGCUAACUACGUG
rnacentral:rRNA from 1 species